GAAAUGCGAUAAGUAAUGAGAAUUGCAGAAUUCAGUGAAUCAUCGAAUCUUUGAACGCACAUUGCGCCCGCCAGUAUUCUGGCGGGCAUGCCUGUUCGAGCGUCAUUUCAACCAUCAAGCCCCCGGGCUUGUGUUGGGGACCUGCGGCUGCCGCAGGCCCCGAAAACCAGUGGCGGGCUCGCUGUCACACCGGGCGUAGUAGAUUUUUCGUCUCGCCCAGGGCGUGCUGCGGGUUCCGGCCGUUAAAAAGCCUCUCUUUUUAACCCAAGGUUGACCUCGGAUCAGGUAGGAAGACCCGCUGAACUUAAGC
rnacentral:misc_RNA from 1 species